rnacentral:rRNA from 1 species
CCAGCCUGCCCAGUGACAAAUGUUCAACGGCCGCGGUAUCCUAACCGUGCGAAGGUAGCGUAAUCACUUGUUCUUUAAAUGAGGACUAGUAUGAAUGGCACCACGAGGGUUGCACUGUCUCCUUUCCCCAAUCAAUGAAACUAAUCUCCCCGUGAAGAAGCGGGGAUACUACUAUAAGACGAGAAGACCCUAUGGAGCUUUAAAUUUCUCUUCAAACGCCAGACACAAGCAUCUGACACUUUACAUUAACCCGACGCCUUGAAGAUGAAUUUUAGGUUGGGGUGACCAUGGAGAACAAAAUAACCUCCACGCUGAUAAAGGCCUCUAAGCCUUGAGCCGAGGGCUACAACCCAACGCACUAAAAAAUUAACACCCAUUGACCCAAUAUUUUUGAUCAACGAACCAAGUUACCCUAGGGAUAACAGCGCAAUCUACUUCAAGAGUCCCUAUCGACAAGUGGGUUUACGACCUCGAUGUUGGAUCAGGGUAUCCCAGUGGUGCAGCCGCUACUAAAGGUUCGUUUGUUCAACGAUUAAAACCCU